GAUGAACGCUAGCGGCAGGCUUAACACAUGCAAGUCGAGGGGUAUAGUAGCAAUACUAGAGACCGGCGCACGGGUGCGUAACGCGUAUGCAACCUACCUUGAACAGGGGAAUAGCCCAGAGAAAUUUGGAUUAAUGCCCCAUAGCGUAUUGAGUUGGCAUCAGCACAAUACUAAAGUCACAACGGUUCAAGAUGGGCAUGCGUCCCAUUAGUUAGUUGGUAAGGUAACGGCUUACCAAGACGAUGAUGGGUAGGGGUCCUGAGAGGGAGAUCCCCCACACUGGUACUGAGACACGGACCAGACUCCUACGGGAGGCAGCAGUGAGGAAUAUUGGUCAAUGGGCGCAAGCCUGAACCAGCCAUGCCGCGUGCAGGAUGAAGCAUCUAUGGUGUGUAAACUGCUUUUGUACGGGAAGAAACACCGGAACGCGUUCCGGCUUGACGGUACCGUAAGAAUAAGGAUCGGCUAACUCCGUG
rnacentral:rRNA from 1 species